rnacentral:lncRNA from 1 species
UGGUAAUCAGCUGGGGUUUCCUUAGGGAGGUUGGAAGGUUUGUUCUUUCUCUCUUUGCAGUAAAUCUUGCAGGUGUGUGUUUUUUGGGUUCAUGCUGCUUGUAUGAGCUGUGAUGAUUACCAUGAAAAUUUGCAGCUUCACUUUUAAAACCAGUGAGAGCACAAACCCACCGGGAGGAACAAGCAAUUCCAGACGUACUGCUUUAGGAGGUGUAACACUCACCGGCGAGGUUUGUAGCUUCACUCCUGAGCCAGUGAGACCACGAAUCCACCAGCAGGAAAAAAAGAUUCCAAACAUGUCUGAAUGUCAGAAGAAACAAUUUCCAAACACACUGCCUUUAAGAACUGUAACACUCCCUGUGAGGGUCUAUGGCUUCAUUCUUUAAGUCAGUGAGACUAAGACGCCACCAAUUCGGGGCACAUUGGGACUAUAGUUACUGCCACCAUGCACAUCUAAACAACGUUCUGGAAUAUCUUCUUGCUUUGGUCAACCACCAGGCAUGGGAAAAUGGCUUCAUCGGUUGUCUUUCCACAAACAAGAUUCUAACUCAAAUAGCUCAAAGGACACCUUCUCCGGGAAACCUUCCCUGACUUCCGACGCUGUUUCCUGUUGGCUACAGUUUUGCUUGACCAGAUGUUGCCAAGUUUCAAAGUCAAAUCGGUUCAUCUCCUGGCUAUCAGCUAAAGGGUGUUGUAUUUGUAAGCAUUGAGAACUUCUAUCUACUGCUAUUGUAUUUUGCAUAUUUGUAUUUUCUGAGUUCUAUUUGAGAGAGACGGAAUUACGCAUUUCCAUAUGGAUCAUCCUCUUCCCUAUGUAUGUUGCUUUAUUGCCUUUUGGAAGAAAAAAAGUGAGAGUUGCAGUCUGUAUUUAGGCCAUUUCUAUGUUCUUUAUUGGGUUACGUUUGAAUGCCCAAUUUGAUCUCAAUGGCACGUCCUUUGUAACAUAAAAUAAAACAUGGUGCUCAGGAAAAGUAACGACACACACAUCCAGGCCCUUUCAUAGCAGUUGGUAAAGCUUAAGCCUUGCCUCUCUGUGUGGUAGUUUCCCUUCCCUUUCUUUUCGUUCCCUGUGACAAGCAGCCAUUGUCCCCUUGGUGAGAUCUGCAAUAUUACUUUGACCCCAGCCCAUCAAUCUGCCUCAAUUGGAUAAUGAUCUGUAAUCACGUUCUUUCAGGGGAGUCUAUAAAUUUGCCAAGGCCCCAUUCUCUUCUGAAGGACUCCUUAUGUUCACUCCCAUUUGUGCAAAUGUGCUCUCUUUUACAGGGCUAAAUAGCCAUGCACAUGGUCCAUUCUGUGAGGAGGCACCGGGCGGUUCUCUGUUGAUUUUCCACGCUCUAGUCUCUUAAAGGAGACUAAGGCUGACAUGCAGGGACACAGUGGGGGGGUGGCCCGAGCCAGGCCACAUCACAGGCAGCCGCUUUUCUCAUUAAGACUGACCCAUCAUUAGGUCACUUUGUGCCAUCCUUGUAAUCAAUGAGCUUAAUGUUUAGUGCAAAAAAAAAAAAA